rnacentral:tRNA from 1 species
GCCGAAGUGGCGAAAUUGGCAGACGCGCUACGUUCAGGGCGUAGUCCUUCACGGGGUAUGGGUUCGACUCCCAUCUUCGGCA